CCUUGUAUCAAAUCAUAAAACCAAGCAUAGAAAUUUAGCAUUCAAUCUCAACUACAUCAAUUUACAUUAGGUAUAGUUACUUACCUUGUUUAUUAGUCAAGCUUGGAGAUCAUCGCUUGAUAUUUACACUAUCAUUUGAAUAUUAAUCACAACAUAAAACAACAUACUUUGAAACUUAUAGUUACCAUUAACUUAAGUAUUCAAUCACGAAUUAAAAACAAGGAUUAAACCAUAUUAAUUUAUCACAAACCAAUUUUAUUAUCCAUUGCGUGUUUCAUCU
rnacentral:lncRNA from 1 species